rnacentral:rRNA from 1 species
AAGGUAGCACAAUCACUUGUUCUUUAAAUAAGGACUAGUAUGAAUGGCAUCACGAGGAUUAAACUGUCUCCCCCACCUAGUCAAUGAAACUGACCUCCCCGUGAAGAAGCGGGGAUAAAUAUAUAAGACGAGAAGACCCUAUGGAGCUUUAAACAUAACACCACCCACCUAAGCCCAUUUCAUAAAAAACAGGUGAAGCUUGUGUACGUUUUCAGUUGGGGUGACUGCGGAGCAAAAUAAAACCUCCACGAUGAAAUCCUCUAAUCCAAGAAUAACAAUUCAAAGAAUCAACAAAUUGACAUCAAUUGACCCAAAUAAUAAUUUGAUCAACGAACUAAGUUACCCUAGGGAUAACAGCGCAAUCCACUUCAAGAGCUCAUAUCGACAAGUGGGUUUACGACCUCGAUGUUGGAUCAGGGUAUCCCAGUGGUGCAGCCGCUACUAA